rnacentral:snRNA from 1 species
GGAUUGACUAUGAAUCGUGUCUU